rnacentral:rRNA from 1 species
UACGCAGGGACCAAGCGUUGUUCGGAUUUACUGGGCGUAAAGGGUGCGUAGGCGGUUUAUCAAGUCAGUUGUGAAAUCUUAAGGCUUAACCUUAAGCGGUCAACUGAUACUGAUAAACUAGAGUGCAGAAGGGGCAAUCGGAAUUCUUGGUGUAGCGGUGAAAUGCGUAGAUAUCAAGAGGAACACCUGAGGCGAAGGCGGGUUGCUAAGCUGACACUGACGCUGAGGCACGAAAGCUAGGGGAGCGAACGGG